CAGUCGCCGCGGGAAUACAGAGGGUGCGAGCGUUAAUUGGAUUUACUGGGCGUAAAGCGUGCGUAGGCGGCUUCUUAAGUCGGAUGUGAAAUCCCUAAGCUUAACUUAGGAAUUGCAUUCGAUACUGGGAAGCUAGAGUAUGGGAGAGGAUGGUAGAAUUCCAGGUGUAGCGGUGAAAUGCGUAGAGAUCUGGAGGAAUACCGAUGGCGAAGGCAGCCAUCUGGCCUAAUACUGACGCUGAGGUACGAAAGCAUGGGGAGCAAACAGGAUUAGAUACCCCUGUAGUCCCUGUCUCUUAUAC
rnacentral:rRNA from 1 species